GCCACGCCAUGUUACCAUUACCUUCAGUACCGCUCAAUUAUCCUUAGGUUCGUAAUCUUAAUCUUCGUUAUACGGCCACUAUGGCUACUUAGGAAUCUCUCCGACAAAAACUUAUGGCAUUUUUGGAUUCAGCAUGAAAAAUACUGAUAAAAAAAUCAAUACGUUUGUUUAAAUGGUACCUGGACUCAGGAGUGAGCCUGGAGAAGGUCACAGUUUUACGAAAUUGACGACUGAAAAAAUGUUCAUCGCUGUUUAUUGAUGCGACAAAAAGGUACGACACGAGACGGAAGGAUGAUUUUCACCGUGUGAGGAGGAAUUUCAACAAAACUGGCCGAAGUCCUUUUGUGAUGGGGUCAAUUUAUUUCAACCUCCUACCAAACAAUAUAAAGGAAUUAGAAGGCACUAAAUUCAAAAUUGCUCUGAAGAAUUGGCUAGUUAAAAAAAGACCGUAUUCAUCAAAAAUUUCAGAUCCAACCGAUUCGGCAUAACAAUUUGGAAAACUACAUUUUGAGUGAUCUAAGUUGAGCCCAGGUUUGUACACUAAGAGGUAAUAUUGUUUUAUAUACAUUGAAAUUGUAUUCUUUUUUCUUUUGUUUUGACAUUGGUGACUUUUGUCUAUGCAUUGUAUAUAUAUGUUUAUGGACAAUAAAUGAUUUGAUUUGA